AUCUAUUCAAAGCAGAUAUGUGAGGAAAAGAACAAAUUUGCAUCGUCAGAGUUUGGAAUUAACAUGAAGCUUAGACUGUGCCUUGUACAUGGCAUCCAGGCUGAGGGGUUGCACAACUGUACAAGCCAUGUCCCUGGCCCAAGUUGGAUCUGCUAGAACAAAAGAAGACUUCUUUAAUAAUUUGCACAAAGAGAGAAAAGUAAGGGAGCAUUAACAGAUACAUAAAUUCAUUGUGAAGCUGCAAUGGCAACAAUAUGGAUCCAGUGGGGAAAGAACUAAAAAAAAAA